UUACCAUCAUUAAUUGGGGACUCUAGCGAGACUGCCAGUGAUAAACUGGAGGAAGUGGGGAUGACGUCAAAUCAUCAUGCCCCUUAUGACCUGGGCUACAAACGUGAUACAAUGGCUGAAACAAAGGGCAGCGAAGCAGUGAUGUGGAGCGAACCCAAAAAAGCAGUCUCAGUUCGGAUUGAAGUCUGCAACUCGACUUCAUGAAGUCGGAAUCGCUAGUAAUCGCGGAUCAGAACGCCGCGGUGAAUACGUUCUCGGGGUUU
rnacentral:rRNA from 1 species